rnacentral:rRNA from 1 species
UACGUAGGGCGCGAGCGUUGUCCGGAAUCAUUGGGCGUAAAGAGCUCGGUAGGCGGCCUGUCGCGUCUGCUGUGAAAUCCCGGGGCUUAACCCCGGGCGUGCAGUGGAUACGGGCUGGCUGGAGGCAGGCAGGGGAGAACGGAAUUCCCGGUGUAGCGGUGGAAAUGCGCAGAUAUCGGGAGGAACACCGGUGGCGAAGGCGGUUCUCUGGGCCUGUACUGACGCUGAAGGAGCGAAAGCGUGGGGGAGCGAACAGG